CCCUAGUAACUGCGAGUGAAGCGGGAAAAGCUCAAAUUUAAAAUCUGGCAGUCUUUGGCUGUCCGAGUUGUAGUCUGGAGAAGUGCUUUCUGUGCUGGACCGUGUACAAGUCUCCUGGAACGGAGCGUCAUAGAGGGUGAGAAUCCCGUCUUUGACACGGACUCCCAGUGCUAUGUGAUGCGCUCUCAAAGAGUCGAGUUGUUUGGGAAUGCAGCUCUAAAUGGGUGGUGAAUUCCAUCUAAAGCUAAAUAUUGGCGAGAGACCGAUAGCGAACAAGUACCGUGAGGGAAAGAUGAAAAGCACUUUGGAAAGAGAGUUAAACAGUACGUGAAAUUGUUGAAAGGGAAACGCUUGAAGUCAGUCGCGUCGUCCAGGACUCGGCCUUGCAUCCAUGCUUGGUUUACUUCCUGGUCGACGGGCCAGCAUCAGUUUUGGCUGCCGGACAAUGGUCAGGGAAAUGUGGCACCCUCUGGGUGUGGUAUAGUCUCUGAUCGGAUACGGGGGCUGGGACUGAGGACCGCGGGCGUCGCGCUUAGGAUGCUGGCGUAAUGGCUUUAAACGACCCGUCUUGAAACACGGACCAGGGAGUCUAACAUGCCCGCGAGUGUUCGGGUGGAAAAACCCGUGCGCGCAAUGAAGGUGAAAGUUGGGACCUCGUCGAGAGGGCACCGACGCCCGGACCAAA
rnacentral:rRNA from 1 species